GGCUGGGUUAGCUUAGUGGUUAGAGCUUAGGCCUUGUGAGCGGAAGGUCCCGGGUUCGAAUCUCGUCAGAGGCA
rnacentral:tRNA from 1 species